AAAUUUGAAACCUUGGUUUGUCAGCUGGCAAGAGUGGGUGGGAAAGAUGUAAAGGACUGCACGCACAAAGUGAUGGACAGGCUCUUCACCAACAACCUAAUGACACUGUUUAAUUUGAAAGGGAAGGGAAAAAAAGAUAAAAUUGGGCUCGAAGACAAGAAAUUGUUUUCAGCAAUAAAAGCUGCUGUCAUGAAAUGGGACGCAGCUGCCACAGAGGCCCAAAUAAAGUCGGCGGCAUCGGACCACCUAAAACAUGCCCCUGGGAGAGUAGGGGGUGGUGGUUAUAAAUAAAUAAAUAUACUGUGCUAAUAUUACAAAAUUUUAUAGCACUUUUAUUUUACUUUACUGUUCUGACUUUUAAGUUUUAUUAUGUUAUUGUGUUAAUUUAUACUUGCUGUUCUUGUUUUAAGUAUUAGUGUGUUGUUGGUUUAAUUUAAACUGCUGUUCUGGUUUUAAGUUUUUCUAAAUAUUACUAAUA